rnacentral:rRNA from 1 species
CAAUGCCCGAAAGGGUGACGAAGCGACGCCGCGUGCGGGAGGAAGGCCUUCGGGUUGUAAACCGCUGUCGGGAGUUAAGAAAUGCAAGGAUGUUAAUAGCGUUCUUGCUUGACUAAGGCUCCGGAGGAAGCCACGGCUAACUCUGUGCCAGCAGCCGCGGUAAUACAGAGGCGGCAAGCGUUGUUCGGAAUUAUUGGGCGUAAAGAGCACGUAGGCGGCUGUGUAAGUCGGUUGUGAAAGCCUUCCGCUCAACGGAAGAACGGCAUCCGAUACUGCAUGGCUUGAGUGUGGGAGGGGAGAGUGGAACUCCUGGUGGAGCGGUGAAAUGCGUAGAUAUCAGAAGGAACACCGGCGGCGAAGGCGACUCUCUGGUCCAUAACUGACGCUGAGUGUGCGAAAGCUAGGGGAGCAAACGGGAUUAGAUACCCCGGUAGUCCUAGCCGUAAACGAUGGGCACU